rnacentral:rRNA from 1 species
GGAAACAGAUGCUAAUACCGCAUAAAACCUAACACCGCAUGGUGUGGGGUUGAAAGAUGGUUUCGGCUAUCACUUUAGGAUGGACCCGCGGUGCAUUAGUUAGUUGGUGAGGUAAAGGCUCACCAAGACCGUGAUGCAUAGCCGACCUGAGAGGGUAAUCGGCCACACUGGGACUGAGACACGGCCCAGACUCCUACGGGAGGCAGCAGUAGGGAAUCUUCCACAAUGGACGAAAGUCUGAUGGAGCAACGCCGCAUGAGUGAAGAAGGUUUUCGGAUCGUAAAACUCUGUUGUUGGAGAAGAAUGUAUCUGAUAGUAACUGAUCAGGUAGUGACGGUAUCCAACCAGAAAGCCACGGCUAACUACGUGCCAGCAGCCGCGUAAUACGAU